rnacentral:rRNA from 1 species
UGGGGAAUAUUGGACAAUGGGCGAAAGCCUGAUCCAGCAAUGCCGCGUGAGUGAAGAAGGUCUUCGGAUUGUAAAGCUCUUUUAGUAGGGAAGAAAAUGACGGUACCUACAGAAAAAGCACCGGCUAACUUCGUGCCAGCAGCCGCGGUAAUACGAAGGGUGCUAGCGUUGUUCGGAAUUACUGGGCGUAAAGAGCGCGUAGGCGGCUCCUUAAGUUGGAAGUGAAAGCCCAUGGCUUAACCAUGGAAUUGCUUUCAAAACUGGGGAGCUAGAGAAUGGUAGAGGGUAGUGGAAUUCCUGGUGUAGAGGUGAAAUUCGUAGAUAUCAGGAGGAACACCAGUGGCGAAGGCGACUGCCUGGGCCAUUUCUGACGCUGUGGCGCGAAAGCGUGGGGAGCAAA